rnacentral:rRNA from 1 species
UGCAGUCGANCGGUCCUGGGGAGCAAUCUUCAGGAGAGUGGCAGAAGGGUUAGUAACGCGUGGGUAACCUGCCCUCGAGUUGGGAAUAACCUCCCGAAAGGGGGGCUAAUACCGGAUAACAUUCUCUCCAUGCAUGUGGAGAGAUUCAAAGGUGGCGCCGAAAGGGCUAUCGCUUGAGGAUGGACCCGCGUCCUAUCAGCUAGUUGGUGAGGUAACGGCUCACCAAGGCAUUUGACGGGUAGCUGGUCUUAGAGGAUGGUCAGCAACACUGGGACUGAGACACUGCCCAGACUCCUACGGGAGGCUGCAGUCGAGAAUCUUUACCAAUGCUCGAAAGAGUGAGUAUGCGACGCCGCGUGCAGGACGACGGCCUUCGGGUUGUAAACUGCUUUCAGGGGUGAGGAAACCUUACGUGCUAAUAUCACGUAAGCUGACGUUAACCCCAGAAGAAGCCACGGCUAACUCUGUGCCAGCAGCCGCGGUAAUACAGAGGUGGCAAGCGUUGUUCGGAUUUAUUGGGUGUAAAGGGCAGGUAGGCGGCUGUGCAAGUCUGAUGUGAAAUCCCAGGGCUCAACCCUGGAAUCGCAUUGGAAACUGCGCAGCUCGAGUCACGGAGAGGUGAGAGGAAUUCUUGGUGUAAGGGUGAAAUCUGUAGAUAUCAAGAGGAAAACCUAUGGCGAANGCAUCUCACUGGCUGAUGACUGACGCUGAANUGCGAAAGCUGGGGUAGCAAACAGGAUUAGAUACCCNGGUAGUCCCAGCUGUAAACNAUGUAGANUNNNUGUCGGGAGGGNCGAUCCUUUNGGUGCCNNANUUNACACAUUAANUCUACCACCUGGGGNNUACGGNNGCAA